rnacentral:rRNA from 1 species
AUGGGGACGCUCGUCUGGCUGAGGCCGACCGCGGCCCCGGCCGUCCCCGCCGGUCCCUCCGCCGCGCACGUGGUGGCUGGCGGUGGUAUAAAUGCCCGGCCUCGGCGUGUGUCCAUGGCGUCCCGCUGCCCGAACCCGCGGGUGCUCCAGGCGGGGAGGUGCCGAUGGCUGGUUGCGAGGUCGGGUGUCACGGCCGCUGCGGCGGCCGCCGAUGACCCUGAGGAUUCGUCGGGGCUUUCAGAUCUGCAAGUGGCUUCAAGGAUCAGAGGGGUCUUCUUCUAUGCAGUGACUGCUGUUGUGGCGAUCUUUUUGUUUAUAGCUAUGGUUGUGGUUCAUCCACUUGUGCUCUUGUUUGACCGCCACCGUAGGAGGGCUCAGCACUAUAUUGCAAAGAUUUGGGCUACUCUGACAGUUUCCAUGUUCUACAAGCUUGAAGUCGAGGGAAUGGAGAAUCUACCUCCCAAUAGUAGCCCUGCUGUCUUUGUUGCUAACCAUCAGAGCUUCUUGGAUAUCUAUACCCUUCUAACUCUAGGAAGGUGCUUCAAAUUUAUAAGCAAGACCAGUAUCUUUAUGCUUCCAAUUAUUGGUUGGGCAAUGUAUCUCUUAGGUGUCAUUCCUUUACGGCGUAUGGACAGCAGGAGCCAGCUGGACUGUCUUAAACGGUGUGUGGAUUUGGUGAAAAAGGGGGCGUCUGUAUUUUUCUUUCCAGAGGGAACUCGAAGUAAAGAUGGAAAGCUAGGUAUAUUCAAGCGAGGAGCAUUUAGUGUCGCAGCGAAGACUGGCGUUCCUGUCAUACCUAUUACCCUUCUUGGGACAGGGAAACUGAUGCCUCCUGGAAUGGAAAGCAACCUUAAUUCAGGUUCAGUAAAAGUCAUUAUUCACCGUCCAAUUGAAGGGAAUGAUGCAGAGAAAUUAUGUACCGACGCAAGGAAUGUGAUAGCAGACACUCUUCUUCUACAUGGUUAUGGAGUGCACUAG